GCUCCGGUGGCCUAGUGCUUAGAGCGUCCGCCUCUGAUGCGUGAAGUUGUGAGCUCGAUCCUCAACUGAGUCA